rnacentral:lncRNA from 1 species
UGAUGCCAAAGCCAAACAAACAAACAAACAAAAAAGUCCAAACCCUAGAAAAGGAAUGUUUCAACAGCUGAAAAGCAUUUGGAAGUCACAUCCAGAAACAUCCUGACACCUGUGUUACUACCUGUCUCCACUCUGACUUAGGUAGAGAGUCCCUCCAAGUAGCUGUUUCUCAACAGGGCAAGAUCAGGUUGGUGGCUGAGAAGCACUAUACCUGUGUUUCCUGUUGCUGCAGGAAUUCUGUCCAGUGACUUUCACAUCACAGGUUAUACAGCGAACAGCAUUUGGAUCAGAAGUCUCAUUGUGCAUACUAAUCUGAGGGGGAUUUUUUCACUGUUCAUAUGCAGGUUUUGAGACAAUGAUUUAAAAAGGCUGAUGGGAU